rnacentral:lncRNA from 1 species
GAGGCAGGAGAAUGCUGUGAACUCGGGAGGUGGAGCUUGCAGUGAGCUGAGAUCGCACCACUGCACUCCAGCCUGGGUGACAGGGCAAGACUCCGUCUCAAAAAAAAAAAUUAUUUUCUAAUAAUGUAUAAUAUUUACAACCUUACCUCAAUAAAUUCAUCAGCCCAAUUUGCCAGAAAUAUUUGAUAAAAACACUAAUAUUCCUGGGAAUAGACCAUUUAAAACAAUUAUAAGGAGGUUUUAUGAACAGUGAUAUAAGGUUGUUUCACUGUAGCAUACAUACCAGCAAAUCAAAUUAAUGAAUAUUUAUCAAAGUAUUAUAUUCUAUAAAAUAUAGUGCUAGUGUUAUAAGGAAUAAAAAAAUGAUGUGACAAAAGUCAUAAAUACUUGCGAUGUUUGAUUUUUUUUCAAAAUCACUAAUGCAAAUUUAGUUGGGGAUAUAAAGACCAAACACAAAAAGAGAGAGAAAUAUUUGAAAGUUGUUCCUGCAUGUAGAACAAACAGUAAACAUCCUGAAAAGAUUUGAUAGCCAGUCUACCUUCUGUCCAUCACCUAUAGACACCCUCUUCCUUCUCAAGUCAAACUCAGUGGGUCAGUCAUGUUCACUACUAUGCUGUUACGGAGAUGGCUACGAGAGAGUGGAACCACACUGUGGAAGAAGCUUCUGUCUUCUCUGACAAGGAAGAGGAGGUGACAUCUUAAGUUCUAUGAUAAUAACAUACAAAUACAUUCAAUAUAUUUAGAUUUAAGUCAUAUACUUCUAAUAAGAUAAGUUGAAAAUAAUUAGACUAAGCUGUUCAUAUGCAGAAGCAUGUAGUAAGCAUAACAAGAUGAUUUUGGAGUCUAUGAUGAUCCUGCAUACAAUUUUUUUCUGGUCAAAUUAUUUCAUUUUUUUCCAAACUGCCCUCAAGCCUACUAGAUUAAGAAAAAAAUAAACUAUGUGAUUGUUAAAAAUAAAGAUCAGUAAAAAUAUAUCAACUUUCCAAAUGUAAAAUAAUGCAGCCAGUAUUCACAUUGCACAAUGCUUUAUUAAUUGAGACAUAUG